rnacentral:lncRNA from 1 species
ACUACCGCAGUUGUGACUGAGUCAGAAUCUGCAUCGGCAGUUCCUACCUCUACUCGUAUCACAGUUGAUCCAGAGGUACCUCCGUAUAUUCAUUCAGUUGCUGAGCCUACUCCAAAUGCUCCUAUCGAGGUACCCACUUCUCCUAUUAUUACUUCCAUAGCUCCUAUUCCCACAGCUACUACUGAUUUGCCCCCUGAGCCGACACAUAUGAGUUCUCCACCAUUAAAGACACGCACAGAUAGUACUCAAUCAGCGCAGGGAUCAGGUACCGGGACAGUCCCUCAAACCACUCUUGCACAGGGGUUGUUGGCUGAGAUCAGCUCAGAGCGACAUGGUGUCAAGCAUAUGCUGAUUGAUCACUUUAAGAAGGACCAUGGAAUGAAAGUUGGAUCUACCAUGAUAUUUGCUAUUGAGGACUUGGUUUUUAAGCUCUUUGGAGAGGGACCUUCUGUGAGUAAGACUCCUACGCAGACACCUUCACCUAGUCCUUCU